GAUGAACGCUGGCGGCGUGCCUAAUACAUGCAAGUCGAACGAGGUGCUUUUGUAGCAAUACGAGAGUAUCCUAGUGGCGAACGGGUGAGUAACGCGUGGAUGACCUGCCCCAAAGUGUGGGAUAACAGUCCGAAAGGAUUGCUAAUACCUCAUGUGGUUAUCGGUUUUAGAAAGCGAUAACUAAAGCAGCAAUGCGCUUUGGGAGGGAUCUGCGUCCCAUCAGCUAGUUGGUGAGGUAACGGCUCACCAAGGCGACGACGGGUAGGGGACCUGAGAGGGUGGCCCCCCCACAAUGGAACUGAAACACGGUCCAUACACCUACGGGUGGCAGCAGUAGGGAAUAUUGCUCAAUGGGACGAAAGCCUGAAGCAGCAACGCCGCGUGUGCGAUGGAACGG
rnacentral:rRNA from 1 species